rnacentral:rRNA from 1 species
GACGAACUGUCCUAACGUUGUCCGGAAUCACUGGGCGUAAAGGGCGCGUAGGCGGCUCAUGAAGGCUGUGGUGAAAGUCCGGGGCUCAACCUCGGAUCGGCCGUGGCGACUCGUGGGCUGGAGCACUGUAGAGGCGGGUGGAAUUCCGGGUGUAGCGGUGGAAUGCGUAGAGAUCCGGAAGAACACCAGUGGCGAAGGCGGCCCGCUGGGCAGUGGCUGACGCUGAGGCGCGACAGCGUGGGGAGCAAACAGG